ensembl:lncRNA
AAAUAAUAAUUGUAAAACAACAGAGACCAAACUCAUAAGUAGUUUCAAACAUUUUUACCUGUUUUAUUACCAAAAGGAUUAAAUAGUUCAUUUUUUUUUCCUUUUUAUGGCAGCACCUGCAGCAUAUGGAAGUUCUCAGGUCAAAGCAGAGCUGCAGCUGUGGCCUACGUCACAGACACAACAUCAGAUCUGAGCUGCAUCUGUGACCUUACAGCAAUGCUUUCACUGAGCAAGGCCACGGAUCCGACCUGCAUCAUCACAGAGACAACACUGGGUCCUUAACCCACUGAACCCAAACAAAUCUUAAGAAGUUCAUUUGGAAAGAUUAAGGUAAUAAAUUCAUAGAUUUCUCUUCUCCUAAAAUCCUCUCUAAAACUGAAUGAAGAAUAGAAUCAAUGUGUUAUACAAUGUAAUUCUUUAAAGGAUGUCCAAAAAAAAAAAAAAUGGGGGAGGAGUUCUCUUGUGGCUCAGGGGGUUAAGGAUCCAGUGUUGUCACUGCUGUGGUUUGGGUUUGAUCCCUGGCCUGGGAACUUUUGCAUGCCCCAGGUGUGGCCUAAAAAAUAAAUAAAAAUUUAGAAACAAUUAAAAAAAUUAAAAAGAUGUCGCACUAACAAAAAAACUAAAAGUUCCUAGAAAUACUAGGUAAAACUAAAUACAAUAAAAGUGGAAGAGAAAAUACUAGACAAAACUAAAAAGUACCCAGAAAAACAUGGGGCAAGACUAUUAAUUAAAAAAUUUUUAAAAUACUGAUUAAAGACAUGUACAACCUAAAUAAAUGGGAGAUGGAUCACAACAAAUGAAGGUUUCAGAAGCUUACAGUCAUCAGGAAGGUGGAGAAGGAUGGAAGUUGGGCCAUUAAGAGUAGCUGGGGUGGAGUUCCCCUUGUGGCUCAGCAGAAAUGAAUCUGACUAGGAACCAAGAGGAUGCAGGUUUGAUCCCUGGCCUUGCUCAGUGAAUUAAUGAUCCAGCACUGCCAUGAGCUGUGGUGUAGGUUGCAGACAAGGCUCGGAUCCUGCAUUACUGUGGCAUAGGCCAGCAGCUACAGCUUUGAUUUGACCCCCAGUCUGGGAACCUACAUAUGCUGCAGAUUUGGCCCUAAAAAUACAAAAAAAAAAAAAGAGUAGCUGGGGUUUUCCCAGGUAUCAAAACUCAUUUCAAAGUUGUAGUCACUAAAGCAGUAUGGUUGGUGCAGAAUUAGACAAACAGGUCAAUGGUCAAGGGGAGACAGUUGAAAAAUAGAUUUGUAAACAUACAAAAGCAUAUUAGAUGAAAAAAUAACCUCGAAAAUCAGUGAGUAAAACAAUGACUUCAACAAAUUGUUCUGGAAUUCCCGUUGUGGCGCAAUGGUUAGCGAAUCCGACUAGGAACCAUGAGGUUGCGGGUUCGAUCCCUGCCCUUGGUCAGUGGGUUAAGGAUCCGGCGUUGCCAUGAGCUGUGGUGUAGGUUGCAGACAUGGCUCGGAUCCCGCGUUGCUGCGGCUCUGGUGUAGGCCGGUGGCUACAGCUUCGAUUCAACCCCUAGCCUGGGAACCUCCAUAUACCGUGGGAAGCGGCCCUAGAAAAGGCAAAAAGACAAAAAAAUAAAAAUAAAAAAACAAAUUGUUCUGUCAUAAUUGGCCAUACAUUUAGAAAAAACAUAUAUAAUAACGAAGAAAUCCAUAUGGAUUAAAGAUCUAAAUGUAAAGUACACAACCAUAGAAAUACCAGAAGAUAAUAUGGGGAAAUAUUUUUACAAGUUUAUAAUGGGAAAAGACUCUCUUAAAAAAAAAAAAAAAAGAGUAGCUGGGAAGGCAAAAAGGAGGAUAAAGGGGAAACCAUGCGGGAAGGUAUGAAGGCAAGAUUAUGGAGGAGUUCCCAUCCUAGUGCAGCGGAAACAAAUCCGACUAAGAACCAUGAGGUUGCAGGUUCAAUCCCUGGCCUCACUCAGUGGGUUAAGGAUCCGACGUUGCCAUGAGCUGUGGAGUAGGUCACAGACACAGCUCGGAUCAGGUGUUGCUCUGGCUGUGGCGUAGGCCGGCGGCUACAGCUCCGAUUAGACCCCCAGGAGGGCACCUCCGUAUGCCGGGGGUGCAGCUCUAAAAAGACUAAAUAAAUAAAUAAUAUAAAACAGAGGAUAUAUGCUGACAGGCAGUGGGAAAGGAAAAUGGGGCCAGAUCACCAAAGCUUGAAAAUCAAGUAAAAGUGGUUACAAUCCAAUGUGGAAGGACACAGGGACCAGUGACAGUUUCUAAGCGUGAACAAAGCAAUUAACCUGAAUGAUUACUAUGGCAGCUGCAAGAGGCAAGAGAAACAAGGGUGUCAAGGAAAACAUACUAACUAGAGGCAACAACCUUGCUAUUCCACAGCUCAUCAGACUACAAUGAGCAUGCUAUGUUUAAAAAAAAAUUCAAAAACUAGAAUAUUCUUACAAGGGUGAUAGGCAUGAACCUGGAAUCAUAAAGAAUGGGUGGAAGAAGUAGGGAUGUGUAGCCUGUAAAAGAUAAGACUGGUGGGGAUGGCUGACAGGCAUAUGAAAAAAAUGCUCAACACCAUUAAUUUUUAGAGAAAUGCAAAUCAAAACUACAAUGAGAUACCACCUCACACCAGUCAGAAUGGCCACCAUUAAGAAGUCUACAAAUAACAAAUGCUGGUGAGGGUGUGGGGAAAAGGUACCCUCCUUCACUGCUGGUGGGAAUGUAAAUUCGUACAACCACAAUGGAAAACAGUCUGAAGGCACCUCAGAAAACUAAAUAUAGAACUCCUGUAUGAUCCAGCAAUCCCAGUGCUGGGUACAUAUUCAGACAAAACUUUCACUGAAAAAGAUACAUGCACCCGUAUGUUCAUCACAGCACUAUUCACAACAGCCAAGACAUGGAAACAACCUAAAUAGCCAAUAACAGAUGAAUGGAUUAAGAAGAUGUGGUACAUACAUACAUACAAUGGAAAAUUACUCAGCCAUAAAAAAAGACAAACUAAUGCUAUCUGCAGCAUGGGUGGAACUAGAGAUUCUCAUACUAAGUCAGAAAGAGAAAGACAAAUACCAUAGGAUAUCAUUUAUUUGUGGAAUCUAAAAUAUGGAAGAGAUGAUUAUAUCUUAAAAAACAGAAACAGAUCAUAGCCAAGGAGAGCAGACUUGGGGUUCCCCGGCGGGGGGGAGUAGGAUGGAUGGGCAUUUGGGGGGUUUUUUGGAUACAAACUGGUAUAUUUGGAAUGGAUGGGCAAUGGGGCUCUAUUGUGCACAGCACAGGGAAACGUGUGUGAUUGGGUCACUUCGCUGUACAACAGAACUUGAAGAAACACUGUAAAUCAACUAUAUCUUAAUAAUAAUAAUAAAGAAAUGAGGCAAAGACCAGUUAAGUAACUUGCCCAAAAAUACACAGCAGGUAAAUAUAUGUGCCAGACACAUAGCAGGUAAAUGAUGUGGCGCAUGAAGGAGAGAAAUAAAUCAAAGAUUAUGUCAACAUUUCAAAUUUGAGAAAGCCAGGGCCGAGAAAGAAAGAAGUUAGGUGUAUGGUGCAGGGUAGAGAAAGAAGAGGUAAUGGGUCCCUCCGUGUUGGGUCUAAGACAGACAGAAGACAGGAGACGUUCGGUAGGCAGCCGAUGACAGAGAACUGCAAGCAGAGAAAAGGACUCACUGCAGUUUUGAAAGCUGUCAGCAAAGAGGUGAAGGUGGCAGCAUGCCAGGGAACACACCCCCUAAGGGAGCUAGAGAGAAGAGCAGAGAGUCAAGGACUGAGUCUUGAGAAACACCCAGAAACCAAAUGAAGGGAUAUGCAGCCCGUACAAACUGGAGCAAUGAGAUAGGGCCACUUCCCAACUGGUGCACCAAGAUACUGCUCCCCUGAGCUUUGGAGCUGCCAGCACCUAGGGCUGGGCACUUGCACUCUACACAGGUUCUUCCAUAAAAAUAAGUCUACAUGUGUUAUAAUAUGAAAGAAUGUUGGAAAGUACUUAGAUGCAGGAUCCAAGAGCCAAGGGAGAAGGGACUAAAGAGGAGGUGAUUAAGAACACCAAGCGCUGCUACGCUGAGAGAUAAGAAAAGCAAUGCCAUUAGCUCAGGAACAGUACAACAAACAGUUACACAAGCCCCAAGCAGUGCCCAUCAUAGCUGGUUUCCCUUUAAAAGCUACACAUGUGUCCUUACAACAUCUGUGGCUAAACCAUGCUGCAACUAAGGAAGUCACUGCAAUAAAAGGAAAGGGGAAAGAGGCAUUAGGACCACAGGAAUAAGUUUCGAUAUGUGGAUAAUGGGCAAGUAUUUUAAUCCAAGGAGAGAUGAACAAUGAAGAGAAUAUAUAAGCAGCACUAUCAGGUGCAGUGUUUUCAAAGAGUGUUCCAAGAAAUGACAACUGUAGGAAACACCCUGGAGGGUUCCCAACGGGUGGUGACAGUGCACCCUCCGAGACAUGUAACUUGUGACUAUCCCAUUACGUUCCUUCUGAGGAAAACUAGUCCCCAUUCCUGAGAAGAAACUAAAUCAGAGUUCAACUAAUUAUCUUGCAAAAGAGAAAGUGAAAAAUACCUAAAAACUUAUUGUCACUGUUUUAAGUUCUUUAAUGUAUUAUCUCAUUUUUAAUCCUCACAAUAAAACCAUGAAGUAGGCUCCCAUUUUCGGAUGUGGAAACUGAAGCACAGAGAAUUUAAAUAACUUGCCCAAGUUCCCACUGCUUAAAAAUGAUGGUUCAGGACUUUCCGUCAGUGGCUCAGUGGUUAAUGAACCCAACUAGUAUCCAUGAGGACGAGGGUUCAAUCCCUGGCCUUGCUCAGUGGGUUAAGGAUCCGGUGUUUCCAUGAGCUGUGGAGUAGGUCACAGACUGGCUCGGAUCCGCACUGCUGUGGCUGUGGUGUAGACUGGAAGCUACAGCUCCAAUUCGACCCCUAGCCUGGGAACCUCCAUAUACCACAGCCCUAAAAAGACCCAAAACAAAAAAAGAUGGUUCAAACCCAGGAGUCUGAUUUUUGAGUCUGAUCUCAUGGCAGCGUGGGAUCCUUAACCCACUGAGUGAGGCCAGAGAUCGAAGCCGCAACCUCAUGGUUCCUAGUCAGAUUCACCACUGAGUCUGAUCUCUUAAGCAUUAGGACAUGAUGUCGGGGCACAGGUUAAAAGCUAGAUCUAUGGCUGAAAGCAAACAGAAAGUCUUGCCCAAGUUCACUGAGCUACUGAAUCAUCUGACAGAGGUAGAAUCCAGGCACAGAUGCUAUCACUUCUUUCAACGAAUAGCAGUGAGGAGGUGGGAGAACUUCUGUGUUACUUAGGAGCUAGGAAUUUAAUGAAUAACUCUGAUUAAAGCUUCAGCAACUCUCCUUAGGUGCUAAGAAUUCUGAAUUUGCAAAUCAAUGACAUCCAUAUUUAUACAAAGCAAAAGUUUACUCCAAAACUAAAUAAGCUUGCUCUUCAAAAGCACCUACGAAGGGUAAAUGAAUCCAUGUCCUCCCAAUUUUCAAUGAGCUACAGCUGUAGGGCACUCCAUUAUAUCAUCUUGCACUUUGAGGCUGAUAUUGUUUUUAACCUGAGUGUUUCCUACAACUAUACGGCAGUAAUUAUUUCUAUUGACUCCUACGCUGAUACCCAGUGAGGACACUCAGAAACUUCCAGAAGCAGAGUUGUAGCCAUGUCUUGGUUAUGAACUUUAUGUUAAGGAUACUUUCUUUGGGCCUAAGAAUUAAAAAUCAAUUACUAUCUCAAAAAGGGCAGAGGGGCACUUUUUCUUUUUUAAUCCCUUUGAUAGAUAGUAUAACAUUUGGGAAAGUAUCUCAUUCCAAGAGCACUCUAUUUCCACUGGCCACUUGGAAGUGGAAUAAGAAUACCUGCCUCUUAUCAGAAUGAGCAUUUAAGCAUUAGGUUUUGAAGGCAAAAAAGCCUGGAAGAAAGACUUUCACUUGGAAAUUUGAUUGUCAAGUACUUCUGAAGCCUUCAACCAGGCAAUCUUUGAAACACACUGGGCUUUGCCAGAAAAUUCGUUUUUAACCGAAAUAAAGAGCCUUGAGAAACAAUUUGUUUACUCAUGGUAACACUCACUUCCCCCAGAAUGGACAUUUUGGAAAAAUUACUUGUACACCAGGGUCUGACUCAUGCCAGCAACCAGUCAUCCUCGGUCUGGAAGCUAUAAAAGAUCUGACGAGGACUCCCUAAGCCUCUAACUCUGAUGGUUUACUAAUUCUGAGUUUAUUCCCGGCCUUCCUGGCCCUCCUAAGUUCUCUACGAUGCCAACUAGCAGGGCUCUAAAUCGGGAAGAGGGUACGUGUCCAGGAAGAGUGAGGGCAGAAAAGUCACUAAGGACCCCGGGAACCUUAACAUGAGGACCACACUAAGCGGGGCUUUGAAAACGCAUGCUCUGACACCUCAAAAGUUUUAGAGACUUGAAUGGCGGCAGAAAAAAUACCGGCAAAAAGAUUUGGGCAAAGCAGAAACAAAACCCCACAAUCCACCCUGACAGGCGACGAGCGGGCUCGGGGGCUGAGGGGUCGGCGGGACUCUCGCCGAGGCCCCCGGGCCCAGGCCGGCACAGCAAAGUCUGGAGCCCCAAGGCCCUGGGCCAAGCCGCCAGCGCGCUUUUCGACAGCUCCACUCACCAGGAACUGGAGCAUGAUGUCCGCAAGGAGGGAGCGAUGGGCGGCUGCAACUCCGUGGGCCGGUCCC